UGUGGGGUAGAGCAGUUUGGUAGCUCACAAGGCUCAUAACCUUGAGGUCACGGGUUCAAAUCCCGUGAACGGAG
rnacentral:tRNA from 1 species